rnacentral:SRP_RNA from 1 species
GCUGGGCAUGGUGGUGCAUGCCUGUAGUCCCAGCUACUCGGGAGGCUGAGGUGGGAGGAUCGCUUGAGCCUGGGAGGUCGAGGCUGCAGUGAGCCAUGAUCACAUCACUUGAGCCUGGGGAGGUUGGUCCAUCAGCCACUGCACUUCAGCCUGGGUGACAGAGUGAGACCCUGCCUCAA